UACAGAGGUGACGAACGUUGUCCGGAAUCACUGGGCGUAAAGGGCACGUAGGCGGUUCGCUAAGUCAGAUGUGAAAUCCAGGAGCUUAACUCUUGAAUUGCAUUUGAAACUGGCGUGCUAGAGUUCGGUAGAGGAAGGCGGAAUUCCAGGUGUAGCGGUGAAAUGCGUAGAUAUCUGGAGGAACACCGGUGGCGAAGGCGGCCUUCUGGUCCGAUACUGACGCUGAUGUGCGAAAGCGUGGGGAGCAAACAGG
rnacentral:misc_RNA from 1 species